UUCUUAACACCUAUUUUGCUCCAUGGUAUCUUUUAUCAAUAUUAAUAUUUUUGAUACCUUUAUUGCUGGAAUACUUUAAAAUGUUUUAUCUCUGAGCAAUAUUUACAUAAUAAGCAUUGUUUAUGGACGUUGGCCUUAUACUCAUCCUAAGUGAUGAGUUGGUGUGAGCACUGCUCCACUGAGCAGUGAGCGGGUACCACAAUGGAGAAAAAGAUCAGCAAUGGACUCCACAUCCUCAGCACGACCAGGCGGCACAGGUGCAACGGGCAACACUGGCCCACCACAUAGAAAGCAGCAACCAAGUAGCCACCCCUUAAGGAAGACUUUACGGAUUGGAGCAUGAGCACUUUAAAGUGAUUCAAAAUUAUGGAGGAGCUACAAAGUUUAUAAAGUGCUUCAAUGCGUUACCAAUCAGAGCAGUAGUGGAACCAUUCCGAGGAGCUUGUAAUACCAUGCAUAGCCUGCUCAUCAUCAGCCCAGGUGUCACUCCUGGGCACGUGGGGCUUCCAGCAUUCCUGCCCAGAGACUCUCCAUCACGAAAAGCAGAGGAGCCACUGCUGAGGAGCCGGGAGAGUUUCGGCAGUGCUGGGAAGCUAAAAAGCAGGCUUCCCGGAAGGGACUGCAAAAAGUCUUUGUGAAGUGAAUUCAAGGUAUUGGGCCAGCUGAUGGAGACUGGAGUCAUCAAUCCUGAACAGUUUAUGACAUCUUUUGAGCAUAUGAAGAAAUCUGGGGAUUAUUAGGAAACAGUUGUAGAAGAUGAGACUAUUGGACAGAUUGUUGCUACAGCAACUCUGAUACUAGAACAUAUAUUCAUCCAUUCCUGUGCUGAGAGAGUAAAAGAUUUUGUCCUUAUUGAUGAGUGCAGAGGGAAGCAGCUCUGUACACUUAUUAACAAUUCUUGCUUUGCCAAACAAAAAACUGUUACAAGAUUACACUUGAAUGUCUACCACAAAAUGUUGGUUUCUAUAAAAAGUUUGGAUAUGCAGUAUUUGAAGAAAACU